GACCCUGCCUUCGGGCGGGGGCUCCGGGUGGACACUUCAAACUCUUGCGUAACUUUGCAGUCUGAGUAAACUUAAUUAAUAAAUUAAAACUUUUAACAACGGAUCUCUUGGUUCUGGCAUCGAUGAAGAACGCAGCGAAAUGCGAUAAGUAAUGUGAAUUGCAGAAUUCAGUGAAUCAUCGAAUCUUUGAACGCACAUUGCGCCCCCUGGUAUUCCGGGGGGCAUGCCUGUUCGAGCGUCAUUUCACCACUCAAGCCUCGCUUGGUAUUGGGCAACGCGGUCCGCCGCGUGCCUCAAAUCGUCCGGCUGGGUCUUCUGUCCCCUAAGCGUUGUGGAAACUAUUCGCUAAAGGGUGUUCGGGAGGCUACGCCGUAAAACAACCCCAUUUCUAAGGUUGACCUCGGAUCAGGUAGGGAUACCCGCUGAACUUAAGCAUAUCAAUAA
rnacentral:rRNA from 1 species